GACGAACGCUGGCGGCGUGCUUAACACAUGCAAGUCGAACGGAAAGGCCCUGCUUUUGUGGGGUGCUCGAGUGGCGAACGGGUGAGUAACACGUGAGUAACCUGCCCUUGACUUUGGGAUAACUUCAGGAAACUGGGGCUAAUACCGGAUAGGAGCUCCUGCUGCAUGGUGGGGGUUGGAAAGUUUCGGCGGUUGGGGAUGGACUCGCGGCUUAUCAGCUUGUUGGUGGGGUAGUGGCUUACCAAGGCUUUGACGGGUAGCCGGCCUGAGAGGGUGACCGGCCACAUUGGGACUGAGAUACGGCCCAGACUCCUACGGGGGGCAGCAGUGGGGAAUAUUGCACAAUGGGCGGAAGCCUGAGGCAGCAACGCCGCGUGCGGGAUGACGGCCUUCGGGUUGUAAACCGCUUUCGCCUGUGACGAAGCGUGAGUGACGGGAAUGGGUAAAGAAGCACCGGCUAACUACGU
rnacentral:rRNA from 1 species